rnacentral:rRNA from 1 species
UACGGGGGGUGCAAGCGUUGUUCGGAAUUAUUGGGCGUAAAGAGCGUGUAGGCGGCUGGAUAAGUCAGAUGUGAAAGCCCUGGGCUUAACCCAGGAAGUGCAUUUGAAACUGUCUGGCUAGAGUAAGGAAGAGGAAAGCGGAAUUCCUGGUGUAGAGGUGAAAUUCGUAGAUAUCAGGAGGAACACCGGUGGCGAAGGCGGCUUUCUGGUCCUAUACUGACGCUGAGACGCGAGAGCGUGGGUAGCAAACAGG